CCCGAAAGAGAAUUGGCACCUGGUUCGUGGGUUUUGAGAGAGAGAAAGAGAGGUUCCAGAGAGAAGGGUUCGAUAGAGAAUGGGAGGCACAAGAGAGUAGGCUACUGAUUGCUGCAGGCCGAGGAAUUAAGCGGGAGGAGGUUUGCGAGUGGGAGUUGCAUCGAAUGAGAUAGGGGCGGAAAUGGCAGGAAGAAGGUAGCGAGUGGAGGGAGAAUGCUCUGGUUUCAAGUGGUGGAAUAGGGAUGGCAAUGAGGUGAAGCAGCAAGGUGAAGGUGUAGUAAGAAAGAACUAAGUUUUGGAGUGGCUCAGCUGUGGUGGAGAAGGCUUGAUGGCUGCGACUAUAGGUGAUUGCAGGUUGGAGGUCGUGGAUACUAGUCAGUUGAAGAAGAGGGGCCGGCUAGGGAGGUGGACAGCAGAUGAAGGGAAUGGGUAACGUCGUGCGGGAGUGGGAGAGAUGAAGAUGAGGAGAGCUGGUAGGCUGGGUAGUGGUUGGUGUGAGUCGUGGUUGAAGGCAGGGAGUUAGAGAGAGAGAAAGCAGUGGCAGAAGUGGAGAGAGGGGUAGCAAUGGGACAGAGAUGGGGUGAGUGGUGGUUGGCUUGCCACAGGUAGUUGAGGUGAAGAUGGGUUGUAAUUGGUCACGCGCGACGGUAGCAUUGUUUUCACAGACUGCGUUGGGUAGACGUGAUGGCACCCGGGUUGGUAACAGGCGGCGAUAGGGUGGAUUGCACAGGCUGUGUUAGGGAGGUUUCACUGCGGCAGUAAGUUACGAAUUCACGUGCAGCGUUAGGGAGGAAUUCACGCGUGGCAUUAAAGGAGGAAAGGUUUGGGGAAUCGUGGUCGUACAGGAGCACAGAUCGUGAGAGGAGGAAGCAGCGUUAGAGAGGAAACGUUUGGGGAAUGGUGGUCACGCGGGACCACGGAUCAUGGGAGAGAGGAAAGGGAACGUGAUGGACAAAGGGGGUGAUGUGAAGGUACACAUAAAAAAAAAAGAAGAGAAAUGGAGGUGGACAUGAGGGACUAUGGAAAAAGAAAGAGGAAGUGGACAGGAAGGUGCACAGGGAGCAGGUGGUAGCACAACAAAAAGAAGAAGAAGAUAAGUGGACCUGGGGGACUACCAGGAGAUAGAAGGGAAGGGUGGUCAUGAGGGAUCACAGGGAGGGAAGGAGAAAGUGUGAAACACAGACGACGAUGGAGUUCUGCCAUCUAUGAGAGAGGAGAGAGAAAGUUGAAGAAAGAGAGAGGAGAGAAAAAGAGAGAAAGAGAGAGGAGAGAGAAAAAAAGAGAGAAAGAUAAGAGAGAAAGAGAAGAGAGAGAAAGAGAAUAGAGGAGAGAGAAAGAGAUUUAUCUUAAGCCCAGGAGUACCGACCCAAAAAUUCUCUCUCUUUUCUUUCUCUCUCAAUACGUGGAAAUUUUAUUAAGCAAAGUGGGGUCAUUUUACAAUUAGGUUUUACACAUAUUCAUAGAAUUGGGCCCAAACAUGGGUGGAUGCUAAAAAACUAUCCUAAUUUAUGAUAAUAUUUAUUUGAAUUAAGAGAAAUUCUAAAAAUGGAUGUAAAAUGAUUGUUUUGCCC
rnacentral:lncRNA from 1 species